rnacentral:rRNA from 1 species
CCUACGGGUGACAGCAGUGAGGAAUAUUGGUCAAUGGCCGUAAGGCUGCACCAGCCAAGUAGCGUGAGGGAAGACUGCCCUAUGGGUUGUCAACCUCUUUUAUGCGGGGAUCAAGGUGUCCACGUGUGUAUGUUUGCAGGUACCUCAUGAAUAAGGACCGGCUAAUGCCGUGCCAGCAGCCGCGGUAAUACGGAAGGUCCGGGCGUUAUCCGGAUUUAUUGGGUUUAAAGGGAGCGUAGGACGGUCUUUAAGCUUGCCGUGAAAUUUUGUGGCUCAACCAUGCGGGUGCGGCGCGAAAUGGAGACCUUGAGUGCGCGGAAGGCAAGAGGAAUUCGUGGUGUAGCGGUGAAAUGCUUAGAUAUCACGAAGAACCCCGAUUGCGAAGGCAGCCUGCCGCAGCGUUACUGACGCUGAAGCUCGAAAGCGCGGGUAUCGAACAGGAUUAGAUACCCCAGUAGUC